rnacentral:rRNA from 1 species
GACGAACGCUGGCGGCGUGCCUAAUACAUGCAAGUUGAGCGCUGAAGAUUGGUACUUGUACCAAUUUGAAGAGCAGCGCACGGGUGAGUAACGCGUGGGGAAUCUGCCUUUGAGCGGGGGACAACAUUUGGAAACGAAUGCUAAUACCGCAUAAUAACUUUAAACAUAAGUUUUAAGUUUGAAAGAUGCAAUUGCAUCACUCAAAGAUGAUCCCGCGUUGUAUUAGCUAGUUGGUGAGGUAAAGGCUCACCAAGGCGAUGAUACAUAGCCGACCUGAGAGGGUGAUCGGCCACAUUGGGACUGAGACACGGCCCAAACUCCUACGGGAGGCAGCAGUAGGGAAUCUUCGGCAAUGGACGAAAGUCUGACCGAGCAACGCCGCGUGAGUGAAGAAGGUUUUCGGAUCGUAAAACUCUGUUGGUAGAGAAGAACGUUGGUGAGAGUGGAAAGCUCAUCAAGUGACGGUAACUACCCAGAAAGGGACGGCUAACUACGUG